rnacentral:rRNA from 1 species
CGGCCGCGUCGACCGUAAACCGACACAGGUAGUUGGGAAGAGAAUUCUAAGGUGAGCGAGCGAACUCUCGUUAAGGAACUCGGCAAAAAUGACCCCGUAACUUCGGGAGAAGGGGUGCUUAUAGCAAUAUAAGCCGCAGUGAAUAGGCCCAAGCGACUGUUUACCAAAAACACAGGUCUCUGCCAAACCGAAAGGUGAAGUAUAGGGGCUGACGCCUGCCCGGUGCUGGAAGGUUAAGAGGAGUGCUUAGCGCAAGCGAAGGUACGAAUUGAAGCCCCAGUAAACGGCGGCCGUAACGAUAACGGUCCUAAGGUAGCGAAAUUCCUUGUCAGGUAAGUUCUGACCCGCACGAAAGGCGUAACGAUUUGGGCACUGUCUCAACGGAGAGGCUCGGUGAAAUCAUAGUACCUGUGAAGAUGCAGGUUACCCGCGACAGGACGGAAAGACCCCAUGGAGCUUUACUGCAGUUUGAUAUUGAGUAUCUGUACCACAUGUACAGGAUAGGUAGAGCCUAUGACCUCGGGACGCCAGUUUCGAGUGAGGCGUUGUUGGGACUACUACCCUUGUGUUUAG